rnacentral:rRNA from 1 species
UACAGGGGGUGCAAACGUUGCUCGGAAUCAUUGGGCGUAAAGCGCACGUAGGCGGCAUUGCAAGUCGGAUGUGAAAUCCCUCGGCUUAACCAAGGAAGUGCAUCCGAAACUGCAGUGCUUGAGUACUUAAGAGGAUCGCGGAAUUCCCGGUGUAGAGGUGAAAUUCGUAGAUAUCGGGAGGAACACCAGUGGCGAAGGCGGCGAUCUGGGAAGAUACGUGACGCUGAGGUGCGAAAGCGUGGGGAGCAAACAGGG